UCAAGCGAAGAAGCGCAUACGGUGGAUGCCUUGGCGGUCAGAGGCGAUGAAGGACGUGGCAGCCUGCGAAAAGCGUCGGGGAGCUGGCAGCGAGCGUUGAUCCGGCGAUGUCCGAAUGGGGAAACCCGGCCCGUGAGGGUCAUCCCGUUCUGAAUUCAUAGGGGCGGGAGGCGAACCCAGGGAACUGAAAUAUCUCAGUACCUGGAGGAAAAGAAAUCAACCGAGAUUCCCGGAGUAGUGACGAGCGAAACGGGAGGAGCCCAGAAGCGCAUCGUGUUUUAGUGGAACGGUCUGGGAAGGCCGGCCAUAGAGGGUGAGAGCCCCGUACACGAAAGGGCGCGGUGCGUGAUGAUGAGUAGGGCGGGGCACGUGGAACCCUGUCCGAAGAUGGGGGGACCAUCCUCCAAGGCUCAAUACUCCUGACCGACCGAUAGUGGACCAGUACCGUGAGGGAAAGGUGAAAAGAACCCCGGUGAGGGGAGUGAAAUAGACCUGAAACCGUAUGCGUACAAGCAGUCGGAGCCCCGCGAGGGGUGACGGCGUACCUUUUGUAUAAUGGGUCAGCGAGUUGCUGUCCGUGGCGAGCUUAACCGAGUAGGGGAGGCGAAGGGAAACCGAGUCCGAACAGGGCGUAGAGUCGCGGGCAGCAGACCCGAAACCGGGCGAUCUAGCCAUGACCAGGGUGAAGGCCGGGUAACGCCGGCUGGAGGCCCGAACCCACUCCCGUUGAAAAGGUAGGGGAUGAGUUGUGGCUAGGAGUGAAAAGCUAAACGAGCUCGGAGAUAGCUGGUUCUCCUCGAAAGCUAUUGAGGUAGCGCCUCGUGUGAACCCUCCCGGGGGUAGAGCACUGUUAUGGCUAGGGGGUCAUGGCGACUUACCAAACCAUGGCAAACUCCGAAUACCGGGAAGGGAUGCACGGGAGACACACGGCGGGUGCGAACAUCCGUCGUGGAGAGGGAAACAACCCAGACCGCCAGCUAAGGUCCCCAAUCACGGCUCAGUGGAAAACGAUGUGGGAAGGCUUAGACAGCCAGGAGGUUGGCUUAGAAGCAGCCACCCUUUAAAGAAAGCGUAAUAGCUCACUGGUCGAGUCGGCCUGCGCGGAAGAUUUAACGGGGCUCAAGCCGUGAACCGAAGCUGCGGAUCCGCUGUUGAAGCGGGUGGUAGAGGAGCGUUCCGUAAGCCGGUGAAGGUAGGUCGAGAGGCCUGCUGGAGGUAUCGGAAGUGCGAAUGCUGACAUGAGUAACGAUCAUGCGGGUGAAAAGCCCGCACGCCGAAUGCCCAAGGGUUCCUUGCGCAACGGUCAUCGGCGCAGGGUGAGUCGGUCCCUAAGGCGAGGCCGAAAGGCGUAGUCGAUGGGAAGCCGGUUGAUAUUCCGGCACCUUGUGUGACUGCGAAGGGGGGACGGAGAAGGGUAGGUGUACCGGGCGUUGGUGGUCCCGGGGAAAGCCGGUAGGCGGAUCCUCUAGGCAAAUCCGGAGGGUCAUACGCCGAGCAGCGAGACCAGGGUCUUCGGACCUGAAGUCACUGAUCCCAAGCUCCCAGGAAAAGCCUCUAAGCAUCAGGUCACGCAAGACCGUACCGUAAUCCGACACAGGUCGGCAGGGUGAGAAACCCCAGGCGCUUGAGAGAACUCGGGUGAAGGAACUAGGCAAAAUGGUACCGUAACUUCGGGAGAAGGUACGCCCCUGGAGGUGGUGGCGUGCGCCACAAAGCUUCCGGGGGUCGCAGUGAAGAGGCCGCUGCGACUGUUUAUCAAAAACACAGCACUCUGCCAACACGAAAGUGGACGUAUAGGGUGUGACGCCUGCCCGGUGCCGGAAGGUUAAGUGAUGGGGUCAGCCGCAAGGCGAAGCUCCUGAUCGAAGCCCCGGUAAACGGCGGCCGUAACUAUAACGGUCCUAAGGUAGCGAAAUUCCUUGUCGGGUAAGUUCCGACCUGCACGAAUGGCGUAACGACAGCGGCACUGUCUCCACCCGAGACUCAGUGAAAUUGAAAUCGCUGUGAAGAUGCAGCGUUCCCGCGGCAAGACGGAAAGACCCCGUGAACCUUUACUACAGCUUCACACUGGACGUUGAGUUCGCUUGUGUAGGAUAGGUGGGAGCCUAAGAAGCCCGGACGCCAGUUCGGGUGGAGGCGACCUUGAAAUACCACCCUGGUGUGCUCGACGUUCUAACCCAGGCCCGUGAUCCGGGUCGGGGACCGUGUGUGGUGGGUAGUUUGACUGGGGCGGUCUCCUCCUAAAAGGUAACGGAGGAGCACGAAGGUGCGCUCAGCACGGUCGGACAUCGUGCGGUGUGUGCAAGGGCAGAAGCGCGCCUGACUGCGAGACCGACGGGUCGAGCAGGUGCGAAAGCAGGUCCUAGUGAUCCGGUGGUUCCGUAUGGAAGGGCCAUCGCUCAACGGAUAAAAGGUACUCCGGGGAUAACAGGCUGAUACCGCCCAAGAGUUCAUAUCGACGGCGGUGUUUGGCACCUCGAUGUCGGCUCAUCACAUCCUGGGGCUGUAGCCGGUCCCAAGGGUAUGGCUGUUCGCCAUUUAAAGUGGUACGCGAGCUGGGUUCAGAACGUCGUGAGACAGUUCGGUCCCUAUCUGCCGUGGGCGUUGGAGAUUUGAGGGGGGCUGCUCCUAGUACGAGAGGACCGGAGUGGACGAACCUCUGGUGUUCCGGUUGUCACGCCCGUGGCAUCGCCGGGUAGCUACGUUCGGAAGCGAUAACCGCUGAACGCAUCUAAGCGGGAAGCGCGCCCCAAGAUGAGAUCUCCCGCGAGCAUCAAGCUCCCUGAAGGGCCCAGGUAGACCACCUGGUCGAUAGGCGCGAUGUGCAAGCGCAGCAAUGCGCGCAGCUGACGCGUACUAAUCGCCCGUGCGGCUUGACCC
rnacentral:rRNA from 1 species